UCUCCUUAGGUGAACCUGCGGAUGUAUCAUUACUGAGUGAGGGCCUUCGGGCUCGACCUCCAACCCUUUGUGAACACAACUUGUUGCUUCGGGGGCGACCCUGCCUUCGUGCGAGGCGCCCCCGGAGGCCAUUAAACACUGCAUCAUUGCGUCGGAGUUAAAGUAAAUUAAACAAAACUUUCAACAACGGAUCUCUUGGUUCCAGCAUCGAUGAAGAACGCAGC
rnacentral:misc_RNA from 1 species